rnacentral:rRNA from 1 species
UUACACAUGGGGGAAACCUCAUGGAUCUAUGCCGCGUGCAGGAAGACGCUCUUCGGAGUGUAAACUGCUUUAAUAGGGAAGAUUAUGACGGUACCUAUAGAAUAAGGACCGGCUAACUACGUGCCAGCAGCCGCGGUAAUACGUAGGGUCCAAGCGUUAUUCGGAAUUACUGGGCGUAAAGCGUUCGUAGGCGGUUUGGUAAGUUGGAUGUGAAAUCCUGUGGCUCAACCACAUGGACUGUGUCCAAAACUACCUGACUAGAGCAUAGUAGAGGCAAGUGGAAUUUGCGGUGUAGGAGUGACAUCCGUAGAUAUCGCAAGGAACACCAAUGGCGAAGGCAGCUUGCUGGGCUAUUGCUGACGCUCAGGAACGAAAGCGUGGGGAGCGAACGGGAUUAGAUACCCCGGUAGUCCACGCCGUAAACGAUGAUCACUAGCAGUAUGGAGAUUCGACCCUCUGUGUUGCACAGCUAACGCGUUAAGUGAUCCGCCUGGGGAGUACGGGCGCAAGCUUAAAACUCAAAGGAAUUGACGGGGACCCGCACAAGCAGUGGAGGAUGUGGUUUAAUUCGACGCUAAGCGAAGAACCUUACCGAGGUUUGACAUCCCAGGAAGUUUUGGGAAACCAAUUCGUGCCUUCGGGAACCUGGUGACAGGUGCUGCAUGGCCGUCGUCAGCUCGUGUCGUGAGAUGUUGGGUUAAGUCCCGCAACGAGCGCAACCUUCUCGUAAGUACUAUGUCUUACGAGACGCCUG